AAGGCACUGAUGCCACUUGUCCUUGACCUCUACCUUAGACAAGUUGCGAAUGAAAACUGAGGGGGUGGAGUAGCUAUGGAAACCCUGAGUGAAAGAUUUUUUUUUUUUUUAAUGCACAUGUUUAAGAACAAAAUGACUGGCAUCCCUUUUUCUCUUUCCAUCUGCAACAAAAGUUCUGUGUCCUGGUUUCUACCUUCAUUUAGAGUAAAUUAUGGGGAGAACAUCAUAAAGAUGUGCUAUUGUCGCAGUGGCAUUUCCUGCUUCCUUCUUUCUGCAGUUUAAUUUUAAAGCCAUUUGAUAAAAUGAACCAUAAUUGUCAUUCCCAUCCUCCCAGGGAGUUCACCUUCAUGCAGGCAAUGAUGGCUCUACUUUGCGUCUGAGUCUCCUGUCAUCAGCUGUCAUUCUGUGGCUACUUUUUCUAUUAAAGAGUCAUCAGGAAGGCAUGCAAUUGAUCUGGGAUAAAGAAUUCUGCUCCAGCAGCAAAUGAAUCAUUCAAUUGUUGCAGCCCUGCCAGAGCACUUGGAACACUAACAGUGAGAGAAAUGCAAUAAUAGCCACUCUUCAUCCCCAACCACUUCAUGACAAGGUGACAGGGUGUCAUCCACGAGGGUUCCUUACAGUUCUGAUGAAGUGUUCCACAGUGUCCACUCCCAGGAGGAUCUGAAUGCUGUAACAUGAUGGUCUACACAGAAAACCCCAAGAAAUCUACAAAAAUAAUCUCAGAACUAAUAAGCAAGUUCAACAAGUCACAGAACACAAGAUCAACAUGCAAAAAUCAAUUGUGUUUCCAUAUGCUGUAACAAAUUUCUGAAAACUAAAAUUUAAA